GUCUAUUAGGGGUACCGAGAUUAACACAAGCAACUCGGAAGAAACUCGCUGGCGAAUUCGAGGAACGUCCGGUGCAACCGAGUUAGUUGCUCGAUCGGGAGCGAGUUUCCUUCGAGCCGCGAAAGGGAUGGGAGCACGAUCUAAUGUUCCCUAACUAGAGAUAAAUACAUUUCUUAUACUAGUAAUAAAAUUAUUCGCAGCGAGGCAACCAAGUCUUCGAACAAAUCAGCCUUUAACGAAUCCUUCGAAAAGAAGAUUAAAAAGUAAGGGAUGGCGAGGCAGCAGCGGGUACACUCUUUAUGUGUCCAACUCGAAUCGCGUUAGUCGAGUAUGAGUUGAAUGAAGCAGCCGCGGCGCACUGCAUCCUAUCGGAGGAUCCCCUCGCGGAGGAGACGCUCGUCGGGCACCAGCCCGCGGACUGCGAGCUUCCGAGGAAGCUUGAUGGUUACUUUUUCUUCUGGGCUUUCUCCGCGGCUUUUGUGACCUUGC
rnacentral:misc_RNA from 1 species